AAUCUGAAGAGUUUGAUCCUGGCUCAGAACGAACGCUGGCGGCGUGGCUAAGGCAUGCAAGUCGAACGGACCGUGUGGAAGGCAACGGAAGCACGGUUAGUGGCGGACGGGUGAGUAAUGCAUGGGUAAUGUACCCCGGGUACAGGGAUAGCUUGUCGAAAGAUGAGGUAAUACCUGAUGACACCUGCGGAGCGCAUGUUCUGCGGGUCAAAGGCUCCGGCGACCCGGGAUCAGCCCAUGUCCUAUCAGCUAGUUGGCGGGGUAACGGCCCACCAAGGCGGCGACGGGUAGCGGGCGUGAGAGCGUGGCCCGCCACAUCGGGACUGAGACACUGCCCGGACACCUACGGGUGGCUGCAGCAACGAAUAUUCCGCAAUGGGCGCAAGCCUGACGGAGCGACGCCGCGUGCAGGAUGACGUCCCUCGGGAUGUAAACUGCUGUCAGGGGCAAGGAAGAUCUGACCAGCCCCAGAGGAAGCCUCGACUAACUCCGUGCCAGCAGUCGCGGUAAUACGGAGGAGGCUAGCGUUGUUCGGAAUCACUGGGCUUAAAGCGCGUGUAGGCGGGUGGGAAAGUGUCUUGUGAAAUCCCCCGGCUCAACCGGGGAACUGCUGGGCAUACUUCCCGCCUGGAGGCAGGUAGGGGCGUGUGGAACUCUAGGUGGAGCGGUGAAAUGCGUAGAUAUCUAGAGGAACGCCGGUGGCGAAAGCGACACGCUGGGCCUGUCCUGACGCUGAGACGCGAAAGCGUAGGGAGCAAACGGGAUUAGAUACCCCGGUAGUCUACGCCGUAAACGAUGCGCACUAGGUUCGAGGUCAUCUGACGGGUCUCGAGCCGGAGUAAAAACGAUAAGUGCGCCGCCUGGGGAGUACGGCCGCAAGGCUAAAACUCAAAGGAAUUGACGGGGGCUCACACAAGCGGUGGAGCAUGUGGAUUAAUUCGAAGCAACGCGAAGAACCUUACCUGGGUUUGACAUGCACGGAUGCCCUCCUGGAAACAGGAUCGGGUUGCCUUCGGGUGAAACGUGCACAGGUGCUGCAUGGCUGUCGUCAGCUCGUGCUGUGAAGUGUCGGGUUAAGUCCCUUAACGAGCGAAACCCCUAUCGCUAGUUGCCAGCGGGUCAUGCCGGGGACUCUAGCGAGACUGCCGGUGUCAAACCGGAGGAAGGUGGGGACGACGUCAAGUCCUCAUGGCCUUUAUGCCCAGGGUUUCACACGUGCUACAAUGGGGUGCACAGAGCGACGCAAGACCGCGAGGUGGAGCAAAUCGCAGAAAACACCCCCCAGUUCGGAUUGGAGUCUGCAACCCGACUCCAUGAAGUUGGAAUCGCUAGUAAUCGCGCAUCAGCCACGGCGCGGUGAAUAUGUUCCUGAGCCUUGUACACACCGCCCGUCAAGUCAUGGGAGCUGGGAGCACCCGAAGUCCGCUCAGCCAACCCGCAAGGGAGGCGGCGGCCGACGGUGAACUCGGUGACUGGGACUAAGUCGUAACAAGGUAGCCGUAGGGGAACCUGCGGCUGGAUCACCUCCUUUCUAGAGGA
rnacentral:rRNA from 1 species